GUAAAGUACUUUCAGCAGUGAGGAAGGCGGAGUCGUUAAUAGCGGCCUCGUUUGACGUUAGCUGCAGAAGAAGCACCGGCUAACUCCGUGCCAGCAGCCGCGGUAAUACGGAGGGUGCGAGCGUUAAUCGGAAUUACUGGGCGUAAAGCGCAUGCAGGUGGUUCGUUAAGUCAGAUGUGAAAGACCCGGGGCGUCAACCUCGGAAUUGCAUUUGUAAACUAGGCAGACUAGAGUACUGUAGAGGGGGUAGGAAUUUCAGGUGUAGCGGUGAAAUAGCGUAGAGAUCUGAAGGAAUACCGGUGGCGAAGGCGGCCCCCUCGGACAGAUACUGACACUCAGAUGCGAAAGCGUGGGGAGCAAACAGGAUUAGAUACCCUGGUAG
rnacentral:rRNA from 1 species